UGCUCAUGCGUCUUAAAGAGAGACGCAUGAGCGUCAUGCGUCUCUACUUCGAAUUAAACCAGCUGCGAAGGCAGUAGCUCCUCAUUCACGCACGCAGACAGCAAAGGUUGCGAUUUCCUUGGCGAUUUCUUGGCGACUCCCGUCAUAUUUCGAAAUCAUGCAAGUAUUCGUGAGUUUAUAUUGGGGUGGUAGAAUAUAUCAACUUCCUCAUGUGGGCAUUUGUUAUGAUCCUCCUCGUGCGAGAGCUUCCAUCGUAUUGGAUUCAUGUGUUUCAUUAUCUGAAUUAGUAGGAAUGAUAUGUGCUAAGAUAAGAAUAGAUUCCAACCAACACUUCAUCGAAAUAUCUUGGAGGCAUUGUUUCUUGGGUACCGGUACGAGUUAUGUAUGUACUGCGGUUGACAGUGAUCAAAGUGUGUUUUAUAUGUUCAA